GGGGGCGACCGGUUUUGACAGCUUGCAGGGUUUGUUUGUAAGCACGUCGAGCGUUGUGUGGUAGCUCGUAAAUAUCAACACUCAAACUAUAAAUGGCAAUAAUAAUAGCUAUGCACUCGCUGCUUAAUUUUCAAGGAAAAUUAGCUUAAUCGACGAGUCCAAGGCGACUUGACGACGAGUAUCCCGAAUGGCAGCUGCGCCCUUUAGUUGUUGUUCAUACGGGGUAUCAUCUUUUAAGGGAUAGCAAGCGUAGAGUCUUGAUGCGUUUGUGAAAUUUUAAAGACUGGGGCUUUGGUUAGGCCGUCUGUGGCCGUCUAAAGCAGGAGGAUUAAACGCAGAAUAAACGUGUAGAAAGCUUUCGGGCUCCGAGUUUGGACGCGGGUUCGACUCCCGCCGCCUCCACGC
rnacentral:tmRNA from 1 species